GCCCGAACCCGAACAGCACACCCCAAUCUAGCCCUUCGCCGGUGGUGGCUUUCGCUUCCUCAGCAGACUUCUUUCUCAUCUCGUCAAGGAUGAACAGGACACAAGCGCUUGACAUGUUACCGUACUCACUCAACACUUGACGUGUGGCCUUCAGCUUCUCCUCUUUGAGGCCGAGUUUAGACUCCACUUGGUCCAGAAUUGCGGGCCCACCGGGGUGAGCGAUCCAGAAUAUCGAGUUCCAGUCGCUGAUGCCAACCGGGGCGAACGCUUCCGACAGGCUUUUCUCUAUAUUCUUUGAGAUCAAGCCGGGGACGUCUUUAAGCAAAUGGAAAGUGAGACCGACUUCGCGCAAGUGUCCGUCAAUUGCACCGUCAGAGUCAGGGAGGAUCGUCUGCGAAGUCGACACAAGCUGAUACAACGGACGCUCGACCGACGUGUCAGGAUCGGCACCCACGAUCACAGCAGCAGCACCAUCACCGAACAAAGCCUGGCCCACAAGAGAAUCAAGAUGAGUAUCGGCAGGGCCGCGGAAAGUGACCGCCGUGAUCUCCGAACAGACAACAAGAACGCGAGCGCCCUUGUUGUUCUCAGCCAAGUCUUUAGCGAGGCGAAGAACAGUGCCGCCGGCGAAACAUCCUUGUUGGUACAUCAUGAAGCGCUUGACGGAAGGGCGCAGGCCGAGCAGUUUGGUGAGCUGGUAGUCGGCGCCGGGCAUGUCGACGCCGGAGGUGGUGCAGAAGAUGAGGUGGGUGAUCUUAGACUUGGGCUGGCCCCAUUCUUUGAUGGCCUUUGUAGCAGCUUCUUUCCCGAGCUUCGG
rnacentral:lncRNA from 1 species